rnacentral:rRNA from 1 species
AGUUGGUAAGUCAUACUUUGACAAAAUACAUAUAUCCAAACCUCUCUGUCCAUUUAUAACUGGACACCGACUCUAACUCAUUUCUUUACUCUCUUAUUCUCUUACGACUUCUUCAAAAACAGGUGGAGUGAUUUGUCUGGUUAAUUCCGUUAACGAACGAGACCUCAGCCUGCUAAAUAAUAGCGUUAAUGAUCUUUCAUUGGCGGCUGUUUCUUAGAGGGACAUAAAGUAUCAAACUUUAGGAAGAUUGAGGCAAUAACAGG